UGAGGAAUAUUGGUCAAUGGGCGGAAGCCUGAACCAGCCAAGUCGCGUGAGGGAAGACGGCCCUAAGGGUUGUAAACCUCUUUUGCCGGGGAGCAAAAGCGCCGUGCGCGGUGCUAUGAGAGUACCCGGAGAAAAAGCAUCGGCUAACUCCGUGCCAGCAGCCGCGGUAAUACGGAGGAUGCGAGCGUUAUCCGGAUUUAUUGGGUUUAAAGGGUGCGUAGGCGGACAGUUAAGUCAGCGGUAAAAUCGAGAGGCUCAACCUCUUCCGGCCGUUGAAACUGGCCAUCUUGAGUGAGCGAGAAGUAUGCGGAAUGCGUGGUGUAGCGGUGAAAUGCAUAGAUAUCACGCAGAACUCCGAUUGCGAAGGCAGCAUACCGGCGCUCAACUGACGCUGAAGCACGAAAGCGUGGGGAUCAAACAGGAUUAGAUACCCUGGUAGU
rnacentral:rRNA from 1 species